GACAGAGGGUGCAAACGUUGUCCGGAAUCAUUGGGCGUAAAGCGCGUGUAGGCGGCCCGGUAAGUCCGCUGUGAAAGUCCAGGGCUCAACCCUGGAAUGCCGGUGGAUACUGUCGGGCUCGAGUCCGGAAGAGGCGAGUGGAAUUCCUGGUGUAGCGGUGAAAUGCGCAGAGUAUCAGGAAGAACACCCGUGGCGAAGGCGGCUCUCUGGGACGGUACUGACGCUGAGACGCGAAAGCGUGGGGAGCGAACAGG
rnacentral:rRNA from 1 species